rnacentral:rRNA from 1 species
UACGUAGGGUGCGAGCGUUGUCCGGAAUUAUUGGGCGUAAAGGGCUCGUAGGCGGUCUGUCGCGUCGGGCGUGAAAACUCAGGGCUUAACCCUGAGCCUGCUUCCGAUACGGGCAGACUAGAGGUAUGCAGGGGAGAACGGAAUUCCUGGUGUAGCGGUGGAAUGCGCAGAUAUCAGGAGGAACACCGGUGGCGAAGGCGGUUCUCUGGGCAUUACCUGACGCUGAGGAGCGAAAGUGUGGGGAGCGAACAGG